rnacentral:piRNA from 1 species
UAAGUCCACAAAUCUGGCCUGUGAUCUGU